GUCGUAUACAUUAAGGAAAUGUAAAAAAGAAGAUGUGGUAUGAUUGCCAAUGAGACAACUAUCCACAAAAGACCAAAAUGACACAGACAUUAACAACUAUAGGUCACCGUAUGGCCUUCAACAAUGAACAAAGCCCAUACCGCAUAGUCAGCUAUAACAGGCCCCGAUAAGACAAUGUAAAACAACUCAAACGAGAAAACUAACGGCCUUAUUUAUGUACAAAAUGAAAGCAAUUUGGAUUAAGAAUAUUGCAACUCAUCAUUUUGACAAAUAGUAAGAUAAAUAGUGAAUUAGCUAGCUUUGAAAUGAUAUUUACCAGACAAAUAAUCUUAAAAUUAUAACAAGUGUUUAAUUGAUUUGUAUAAUCGUGUUGCUUUAAACUUUGAAUACUCGAAAUUGAUAUUCACAACAACAUUUUUAUGUUAAAAUAUAUUUUUCAAACAUGUAAGUGGUAGUACAUGCGGGUCUAAAUAUGUUUUCACAAUAGAGAAAUAUGUGACCCCAAAAAAUAACGAAUUAAACAAUAAGGAAAAUGAGGUGCCAAAUUAAAAGUACAGAAAAUUGCACAAAAACAAUUUAAAACGAAACAUAAAACUUAAAGACUCGACGAAUACAUCAAUAAAAUCAAACACCAAAU
rnacentral:lncRNA from 1 species